CGUUCUCAUCUAAAUGGCGCUGGCGACAAGGUCGAGCUUCCGGACGCUAAAGGCGAUUCGUGGCGCACAUUCGUUCUGCAAGCACGCCACCUCUUCUGGCAGCAGCUCGGAUCGUGUCUCGAGUUUGUGGGACGAGCAUCGCCUUACGGCCGAUCAGCUGCAUUUUCGUGCGCUUGCUACUGAUUUUGCCAAGAAGGAGCUCCUUCCCAAUGGCGCGCAGUGGGAUUGCGACAAAUAUUUUCCAGUGGAGGUUUUGCGAAAGGCUGCCGGUCUGGGAUUCGGAGGAAUGUUUUGUGCUGAAGACGUUGGUGGCUCUCGGCUUAAUCGAGUGGAUGGAGCAGUGAUUUUUGAGGCGCUGGCAUAUGGUGAUGUUAUCUUCGUAGCUUUUCCAAUGUUUCUUUCGAUUUGUUCUUUGAUUUUUUCCAACUCUGUGGUUUGUAGGUAUGGAAAUGAUCAACAGAGAAACCACUGGCUUCCAAAACUUAUUCAGAUGGAAUUCUUUUCAUCGUACUGCUUAACGGAACCUUCAAGCGGGAGUGAUGCCGCAUCCUUACAGACUACAGCAAGACAAGCACACGGCAGCAGCGACUACAUUCUGAAUGGAUCAAAGGCCUUCAUUAGUGGAGGAAGCGUUAGCGACUUGUACUUGGUGAUGGCUCGAACAGGAGCGCUGGGCCCAAAAGGGAUCUCUUGCUUUCUCUUAGAGAAGGGGAUGCCUGGACUUUCGUUUGGACGGCCCGAAGAUAAGCUUGGAUGGCGAUCUCAGCCUACCACUUCCGUGGUCAUGGAAGAGGUGCGUGUGCCUUCCGCCAAUAUGCUUGGACGAGAGGGACAGGGAUUUGCCAUCGCAAUGGCGGGCCUUGAUGGAGGUCGCAUAAAUAUCGCAUCAUGCAGUUGCGGGGGAGCACAGUUCUGCCUUGAUACUGCUCAGGAAUAUGCGUCUACUCGCAAACAAUUUGGAAAAGCCAUCACAGAGUUUCAAAGUACUCAAUUCAAACUAGCGGAUAUGCAGACUGCUCUGCAUGCGUCACGCUUAAUGGUAUCAAAUGCUGCCGCUGCCUUGGAUGCUGGAUCUCCGAAAGCCUCUGCUUGCGCUGCAAUGGCGAAAAGGUUCGCUACUGAUGCUUGCUUUAACAUUGCGAAUGAUGCAUUGCAACUUCAUGGGGGAUAUGGCUACUUAAAAGACUACCCGGUUGAAAGGUAUCUUAGGGACCUGCGAGUCCAUACCAUACUCGAAGGGACGAACGAGAUCAUGAGGGUCGUGCUCUUUCGACACAUGCUACAGCAGCCGUAAGGGCGUACCAUGUGUGUGAUCCAUGUGUCCUUUCGAGGAGGGAAGCCCUUACGGCAGCCCGUGCGGUGUAAAAAUGUGAUCGACAUUACAAAGUUUUUUGUGAUAGUAGGACAGGCCAUACAUGUUCCAAAACCGUGAUAUCCCGGUCCACCGUGGGACGUAAGUCUCCGCUGCUGUAGCUUCGGAACUGUGGAGAUCCCACCAUUAGCUAGAAGCCUUUAGUAUUAACUUGGUGUUAUUGACUUGGUGUUGUUUGGGAUCGCUAUUGAGAUUUUAUCAUUUUGAUUUGGAUGUUUAGAUUAAUUAAAAUAAUGAAAUUAUAUCUGAUGAUCU